rnacentral:lncRNA from 1 species
CCUUUUCCUCUCCCACAUUUUCGCUUCUCUCCCCCUGCUUUGGUUCCCUUGCCCACAGGGCUGCUCAUUGCCCGCCCCCGCCUCUGCCUCUCGACACCUCCCUGCCUGACCUUGCCCCUCUUCUACCCGGCGGGGAGCGGAUCCGGACGACGAGCGCCGGCUGAGCGCCGCGCAGGCUCAGCUCUCGGGCAUGCUCACUGCCACCCGGGGAGCGAAAUCGGGGAAAGUUGCGAGGGGAAGCCGGCAGGGUUUAAAUGCGACGGAGCGAGGCCGGGACUGGGCGCGUUGAGGUGCUACCGCCGCCGAUCUCCCCCGGCCGAAGUACCUCCAGGGAGCUUGUAUGCAGGCAGGUGCCCGGUUCACAGCCCCAGCUCAGGCAGGCAGCUUGCGUCUCUACAGGCACCCAGCCUGCGGCAACCCAAAUACACCCAGAAAGGGGGAUCUUCAGCGUGCGGCCGUCCAGCCACCCAGCUACACCCUGGGAAGUUGCACCUUCCAGGCACCCAGCCCUCCGCUGCCUGCGCACCCGGAGAGAUACCGAGAGCCGCUGCGUGCGCCCAGCCAGACUUAGCCGACAAACCCCGAUACUCCCUGGGAGCUUGUCUCCACCAAGACGCCCAGCCUAGAGGACUAACGCGACCCCAAAAGGAAGCGCUCAAGCGAGUGAGCGAGCCCCGGGCUGUGCCUAAACCCAACUCCACCCGAGACGGAGUGGAAGAUCUACAGCGUGCAGCCAAUCCAGACACCCAGUCUGCAGCUCCAACCUCUCUGAGCGCCGAUCGGGCAGAAGCUCACAAAUCAGCUCCUCUCUGCCGCCAGCUAGCCAGCAACUACCCAGCCCUCCUCCCUCUUCUCCUCCAGAAAGCCUCCCAAACCCGACAGCCUGGGAGCUGCUCCUCGCCAAAGACCCGCUGUGAUCAUUCGGCGCCCGCUUGUCCCCCCUCGGCGGCAGCAGCACCCCAAGCUUGGGAAUUGCAUUGUUGGGGGCUGUAUGUGUGCGCGCGCAGGAGAGAGAUUGCUACGGAGGCAUCAACCUGUAGGCUGAGAUUUCUUUUGCGGCAGCUACCUGUUUGGAAAGCGCUUUGCGGGUGCAGCAGGAAAAGCGCACAGAGACUUAUGCAACCCCUCCUCAAUCCGGAGGCGGCCAAGUGA